rnacentral:rRNA from 1 species
GUCUAAGGCCAUGCCACCCUGAACGUGCCCGAUCUCAUGUGAUCGUGGAAGCUAAGCACGGUCGGGCCUGGUUAGUACUUGAAUGGGAGACCACGUCGGAGGACCGGGUACUGCAGGCA